UUCAGUCGUCCAGUCGCAUGAGGAAAGAAGUUGAACGCUCUCUCUUCGCCCGAUGUAAGUUGCAGUGUUAACGUAAUCAUAUAGGCGGAAUAUUGGUUUUGUUGGGCGGGCUAGACAAGCUGUCUAGAGGGGGCCGGGGACAUGCUGCCCAGAAAGUUUUGAAAUCUUGAGUUACGGAAAUGACAUUUCCUGCGAUCUGGGGAAGAUUUGACAGGCAGGAACUAUGUUGUUUUGUUCAUUCUGCAUUGAAGGCUUAAAGCAGCGAAGAAUCCGUCACCAUCUUAUUACGUUCUCCCACUCCGAUUUUUUUCUGGGAGGCUUAGCCCCCUUACAUCUACUUUUGGGGGCAUAGCUUCCUUACUUCUACUGUUAUAGCCCUCCCUGUUACGCUGCCUAUAUGACCCAUAGCAAACAUUUUACAGGACGCCGUGUUACUUUUACAGGACUUCAUUUAAAUUAAACUAGCAUUGGCUAAACUGGAUGUUCCUGUUAAAAUAUUGGUUAAAUGAAACGCAUGUGGAGUUUGUUAUUCAACAUUCUGAGUAGCGGUUCGUUCCAAGCUCAUUUUAAGGUCGACUGCAAAUAGUCUAACGAUAUUUAAAACAACUGAUGCAUGACUUCAAUGGUCCAUUUGGUGAACAAACUUUAUUUUAAACACACACAACAUUGGUUAAGAAAACUGCUAUACAAUUUUUGGUGGGACGAAUUUUAAUUUCUACAUUUUAACAAUUUAGUAUCAGAAACACGAGACACUAUUGGUACUUCAAGAAAGCAACUUGAGGUUUGUUGUUUAAAGCAUAUAUUUUUGUUCUAAUGUUCUUAAAGAUACAGCGCAACCUUCUGAAUGAUGGUUUUUCAUGUGAUGUCAACAUGCAAUUUUGAAAUAUUCAUUAACUUUUUCAAUUUAAGGUGGUGGCUCCCUACAGUUGUUGAGAAUGGCAGCGAAAAAUAAGGUCUUCACAACGACGCGAAAUUAUUUGCUAUUUAUGCAAAAUAGAGAAUUUUUUGAAAGUAUAAACGCUUGUGCAAUCUUUAUACUUGAAGUACAUUAGUUCGAAAGAAUCAAAUUAUGUGUUGCUAUGGUAACAAUGUGACCCAAGCGACAGACAUUCAAUUUUACACUAAAAAUGAAUUUAUUAAAAUUUCCUUCGGUCAAAGUUUCUAAAAUUUGGUAGGUGUAAAGGGAAUAUCUAAUGGGAGAUUAUAUAAAAAAAUUAGGUGGAGUUACAAAUUGAACUUUUGAGAUAUCACACAAAAUUUGUUCCACAAAAACUGCUUUAUAGAAUUUUUGAGUAUAUUGAACUAAAUGACUACUACUUUUAAAAAACAAAAUUUCAGAAAAAUUGACCGAAGGAAAAAUAAGUUUUACUGCAUUUCAAAGCUUGUGUGGCGAGAUGAAAUUUUUGCUGACGUGAUUUUGUUUCAACUUUACAAGCUCACUUUUUGACGCUGAGCUAUAUUAUAUUAUACAAAUAAUGAAUGUUUAUGAGUGCAAUGGUAAGAAUAUUUUCAUGAGGUGAAAGAUGGAAUGUUCCAUUCAACGAGGCGACAGCCGAGUUGAAUGGAACAUUCCAUCUUUCACCGAAUGAAAAUAUUCUUACCAUUGCACGAAUAAAAACAUUCAUUAUUUGUUUUAUAUAAUACCAGAAUAGACUAAUAUUAAAAGGUUUACUGUAAGCUCCCGCCAUUUUGACGAGUCGUAUUUGCAUUAAAUCCCAUUUACUGAGUUUCGAAUAUCGGGUUAAAAUAUACUGCGAUCACCGUACGAGAAGCAUUUUGACGGAUGCGAUUUAGCGAAAACACAAAGAGUGCAAUGGAAUAAAACGUAUAGUACAAUUGCACUCGCAAGAGUGCAAUGGAACGUAUUCCAUUGCACUCUUGGGAAAUGGAAUUUUCUAUUCAAUAUCACGUGACCAUAAACAGCCAAUUAAACGAUCAGAAUUCAAUAAGGUAUUAUAUAAUACAAAUUAUUUGUAAUAUUAUAGUUCAGUGUUUCUUGAGCAUGCACGCCUGCCACGCCGGGAAAACUUUUCAAAACAUCUUUAAAAACUGCGAGUUUGACUUUUCAUCUUUGCCAAAAUUUGGUCUAAUGACUUUAGUUUUACAUUCACUUGUUUGAAAAGAUAAAACACUACAUGUAAAUGUAGUAAUUUAAGUCGAAUGACAGGAGUUUGUUUAAAAAUACAUUUAUUGAUUUAAUAUAUUAAAAAUAUCAAUUUUAAAAGAACGUUAUUGACACAAUAUUGAACGUAAACACGUAUAAAAACACACUAAAAGAUAGCGUAGAAACUGGGAAACAACAUACGUACAGUUUGAAUUUCAAAAAUUUACAAUUAGACGGAAAAACUUGAGUUUUCUUCCUUGACAUAAAGUUUGAAAAGUAUACUAUUUAAAAAACGAGCAGGAGUGUUUUAUUAGGUUUAAAGCCACGAGCGCGCAGCGCGAGUGGCUUUAGACCUAAUAAAACACGACCUGCGAGUUUUUUAAAUGGCUUCAAAAACGUUUGCUUAAUAAGUCAAAUCUUUAUAUAAAAAUCUUUAUAUAAAAAUCUUUAUAUAGUUUGCAUAACAAUGGUCUGUCAAUAACGACGUAUGCACGUGACUAAUUUCUUACUCAAGAUGAACAUACUUUCAAUUUGAACAUACUUUCAAAUUUUUUUACCGAUCCACAAAUUAAAGAUUCCACGCGCGCGACGCGAGUGUUUCCACUUUUAGAACUAUCGUGUUUCCAUUUUACAAUCGUGUUUUCACUUCUACUGUUCUAGUUUCAACUGUAGGGAGCCACCUUAAGUUUGUGAAUACCGUAUUUGGACUACAAGCUAAGGUGAAGUUUCGCAAGUCUACAUCGCAACUGAAUCUAAAACCCUUCCUGAGAUAUACUGAGGAUAAAUUUAGACGAAAGAUUGACUAUAUAGGUCAAAUUUCACAUCAAAAUAGCCAGGAUAAACGAGUGAAAUUAUCUAAAUAUCUUCGUUUACGUUUAAAAUAGCCAACGUGUUCGACUUUAUUGUACUUUUUCUCGAUGACGCAGUCGUCAGGGCAAGCGCCUUUAACCUCAGAUCGCUACGGAGUCAUGGCAUUUAGUGAAGAGUCGGUCAACGCUCUACCGAAAGUCGUGGGUUUUUUCGGGUAGUCCGGUUUCCUACCACAGGAAAUGUUGACAGGGUGGGUUGGGAUUAGCUCCUAACUGACCCUUCCAUCGUAGCUGUUCUCCGUGAUCAGACAUGAGUCAUCAGGUGGCUGCCAGAGAGACGCCCCUUAGAAAGCCUUUGGCUCGAUCAGGUUGAGCUGCGUUCUUCGCAGUGCAGCUCAGCUCUCAGCUGCGAAUAAGGGUGAUCAGGUGAUCGGACAGGGUGAUCGGUUAUUCUCAGCUGCGAAUAAGGUUUUAAUCGGUACACCAUCUCCCCCCCCAGACACACAUACACACACUUGGAGGUUGUGCCUAUUCUAUUGUCACGAAAUAGUACAAUGAGAAGGUAAGAAAGUUAGUAUUCAUAGGCAUUACAAUACCACAUAAUUUUACAAAACGUCUUGCCAACGACAAAACCAAAAUUGCGAAUUCUCAUUGAAACCAUAAUUCGAAAGCUGCACUGGGCAAACAAAUUAUUUCGUGGUUUGUUUAGUCAACUUGUGCAAUUUUCUGUACCACGAUUGUUCAUAAUUUUCAAGGUAUGGUACACUUAUUGGUUGCCUUUAUUUUUAGGAUCGUUUGGCUUCUAGAAAUGGCAACUAAUUUCAAUACAUUUUUUACACUUUGUAUUUUCUGUGUAUAUGUAAUAUUAUUAUAAAUGUAACAAAAGAUCUAAUAUUUUAUAUCUAUGACUAUGUGGAAUAAAUUGGAUCAAUCGUGCACUUCAUCUAUUCCCAAUUAUUAAUAGUAGGUCGUGUAAACACAGAGGUGAAAAUCGAUUGAAAAAACAUUCCCUUUUGAUUAUACCGGAUUAAGGUACGUUGACACGCUGCGAUUUGUC